CCUCGCAAUUCACGCGAUAUAAAUAUGUACAAACUCAGAAUUUUGCAGUGAAAGAAAGCAGCGUUUUACCGUUCCUAUAUAUCUACUCUGUCUGAAAAUCGGAAACCAAAACCCUAGUUUUUUCAAUUGGUUUGAAUUUACCCCCCUUUCCUUGUCGAAUUCUACAUUCUCACUACCAAUCAACAAUGGCGGACGCUUUCUGGAGGUACGGUGACAACAGGCAGCCGGCGGUGUCGCUUCCAGCUCAGAUGGUUGCGAAACGGCCUCGUUCCGAGUUUGAGAUGCCAAGUGGACAAGAUACGUCAAGCUACUAUAUUCCUGGCAAUGAAAGGGCAGGAAAUCUUGUCGCUAGAGAUACCGACUCCGUCAAUGCAUCAUAUGAACGCUACUUGCGUACUUUGCAAGUUCCAUCAUAUGGUGGCCAAACUGGAAGACCUGCUAUUGGUGGGCUUGAUGGUGUUCAUGAAAUAGAUGAUCUUAGGGUCCUAGGACUGGUGCAAUCAGGCGCAGCAGCAGCUGCUGCUGCACAAAGCCGGUUAAUGGGAGUGGGUGGGCGACCUGAAAUUUCACUCCCUCCUGACGCUAGCAGCACGUUGUUUGUGGAGGGCUUGCCUGGGAACUGUACUCGCAGAGAAGUGUCUCAUAUAUUCCGCCCAUUUGUGGGCUAUAAGGAAGUAAGGCUUGUAACCAAGGCACCAAGACAUCCUGGGGGGGAUCCUGUGGUGCUAUGCUUUGUUGAUUUUGAGAGUCCAGCUCACGCAGCAACAGCAAUGGAUGCUCUGCAAGGUUACAUAUUUGAUGAGCACGACCGAGAGUCGGGCCACUUGAGGGUUCAAUUUGCUCGCAAUCCUCCUGGUCCAAGGUUAGGUGGUGGGCAUCGUGGUAAUCGUUGAGAUUGAUUCGACAGGACCCACUGAUUGUGGAGGUUUACAGUUUGUGAGUAUCACAGCUUUGGAGUGUUGCGACAUACUUUCAGAGGCUUUGCUUAGGAUCAGUGGGUUUAUAUCAAUUGUGUCGAUUGGAGGGACGACUGGUAUGAACGCAUACAUGUACACUGGUAUGUAGAGGAAAUGCUGCUCAACUUUGUUGUCCUUAUCUAGCAUAGGUUCUAUGAAUGACAUGUUUGGGGUCUAAAAUGUACGCGAAGCCUACCAUUUGGUUGGUCACUAUGGUAUCUAGCUUGAUUGUGGCAGAAUGAUGUGCUCUUACACAGCAUUUCCACCAGAGGAACUGUAUUGAAAACAAAAUGAUGUCUCCACUCUCCUGCACUCAAAGGUUAAAGUUGUAGGUGGAAAUUGCGGUUUACAAUGGAUGCAGCCAAAGGUAGGUAAGAAAAAAGUAUUUAUGAGCAAAUAAAUGAGGGGAUGAGGACAAACAAAUAUAGGUGAAAAAGGUUCCUUUUGAGGAAUGACACUUGUGCUAUGAUACGAUGCACUGAAGGUUUCUCUGCUGCGGCACAUUCAAUUGGACGAGAUAAUAUAUAAGCCUAGUAAGUAGUAACUGAAUGGUGUAAUCUUGUCACAAGCACCAUUUCUAAAGCCAAAUUGCUGGUUUAACGCAAAAAGAAAUGUUACUUGUACAUAACCAGAGCGUACAUAAUUGUUGUCUCUUUGUAUCUAGUUGUAGAGGCUGGCCGUCUCCAUAUUCUGGGAGAUGCAGCAAUAUGUGAAGCUUCUAGUUAGGUGUUGCUUUUUUAUGCCUUGAUGUGAAGGUGCAAAUUUGUAGAUGACAUUGUCUAUUGUUGGUGCUUGUAAAUAGCUGUCUUGGUUACCUAUUUUUCGAUUGACUCGUAUGCACGAUGCACACGCAUGUAUGAGUGAAUCUUAUUAUGUAGCUACGUUUUGCUAUUCUGCUAUUUAUCAAUUGAUGUGAAUCGGCACCUUUGGUCUUUUGUAACAAA